CUCUGAUAGAGAUAAACAUUUUGAGGUAAUAUAUCAUAAGCCAAAGUUUCAUUUAGUUUAAUUAUUAACAAUGUUAUGCAACCACUGCUAUUCUAUGUGGUUAAUUUAUUUUGGAACUCCCAUAAAAAAAUAACAUUUUAUAGUGUGGUUUAUCGUUAACCUGAGAUUUAGUACUUUAGAAAUCUCAAAACCCCAUUAUUGAUUCUAAAAAAAUGUUGAAGAAGAUAAUGUGAGUCUUUUUUAUUUGACUAAAUUAUUUAGUCGAGAUCACUUGUGUUAGUGUGAAGGCAAUAUUUUUAAUUUGAUAUCUUCUAGAGUAAACUUGGAGGAGUGAUUUUAGGGUGUACAUGACCGGAUAGGUUUGGAUUUUUCAAAUAUCAAAUCAAACUUUUUGUGUAAAAUUUUUUAAAUUUAUAAACCAAACUAAUAAAACUAAGGUUUUUUUCGAGUUUUUCAACCUCGGGUUGGUUUGGGUUUUUCAAAUACCAAACCAAACCAUUUGUGUCGAAUUUUUUAAUUUUUAAAUCAAACCAAACUAAUAAACCUCGAUUACUUUUCAGGUUUUUGGACUUUUUCGGUAAAGUAUUCAUACAAACAUAUUAUUAACUAGUGCUCCAAAUAUUUCUUUAUAAGUCCAAACCAAAAUACAACUAUCUAAGGUGUUUCUUGAACUCUGUGCUCUAAUAUCAAGUUUGUCAUGCCCCGGGUCUACACCCUAGAGGUGACCAACACUCGAGAAUCAUUGUUGAUCCACAAAAAAACCCUUGGCCUGGCUAACUAUGGUACAUAUGACUCAAUAGAAUAUGUGGAAGCUUUAAUAGAUGGGCAUUUAAAAUUAGAGAACUUAAAACCAUUAUUUGAAAAUACUUAAUAUAAAUAGGAAACGCUUAACAAAAUCAUCUAAGAAAGUACUAAAACUAUCUAACGUAGUCUGUCCAUGAAGCCUUUACUGUCUAAACCCAUGACACCUCAAAGUACUUCUAAAACCAAACAAUAAACUGGAGUCCUCCAAAAGUAAUGAGGUCUUACCAGAAUCUGGCAAACAAAUGAAGUGAUCUCAACGGAACGCCUAUUGAUGAUCCUAAGUACCUGAAUUUGCAUCAUGAAAUGAUACAGGUCAAUUGACAUCAGUACAUUGAAUGUACGGUAUGUAAUAAGGUUGAAUAAAAUAAAUAACUGAACUAAAAGAGAUUGAAAGUGUAGCCUGAGCAUGAUGUAAAAUCAUUUAAACUUUACAAUAUAAGAUAUGCAAUAGAAGCAACAUAAAAAUAAUGUAAUAUACUUUCUUGGGGAGUUUCUCUAAUCAACAACAAUCACUUUGAGUCUAGCGAUGAUACAACGUCCUGCCCACAUGUCCAAAGUCAUUAUAUACUUUGCCGGGGUAUAGGACAACAACUAUAAUAUAUGGAUCCAUCGAAUGUGCCUUCUAAGAGGCAGUGGAGAGUAACAUAAAAGUCGGUACAAUCCUAUCCUAUAUUGGCUACGUAGUUCAUGGGGCUUGAAUUAAAAUGUACUCUUACCUAAAUCGGUGCUCAUUACUACUCCCAAAUUAGUCAAUAUCAAUUAUGCUCAAUAACCCUUUUUAGGGAAAUGACCUUUACUUUACUUUACUGAAAUGUUUUUCAGAAAACAAUUUAUGCUCUUUUUGAAAUAGUGCCUCUUUUGUGAAUGUAAAAUAAAACAUUUGGAACCAUUUAUGUUCCUUUAAAACCCUUUUCAAUGAUGCUUUAAAAUUACUCUUGAACUUUCUUUAAAUUUCAUAAUCAAUGCAUGGAAAAUGCUGAUUCGAAUAUUGUUAGCAAAAACUCUAUACAUAGGGUUCAUGUAGAAAUACAAACAUGAACAACAACUCAAGAAUCACAAUGCAUAAAAUAUUGCAAUCUCAUAAAUGAGAAUUUAGAACUCGGAACAAGAACAUAACUCAUAUCAAGAAUUUCAUGAAACUGAGGGCAGAACCCUAGAUUGAAAUUUCUACUGAUUGAAUUUAGAUGUAGGACAUGAGGACGAACUUAGUCCAUCACUAUGAGUAGUCUUGAAUACCUUCAAAGCUCCAUAAAUCUUGAAGAAGAACCAUAACAUGAAGAAGAACGAUCAAGAAAACCUUUCUUGAGAUUCUUGAAUUAGUUUCUUGAAAAUCCUAUGACCAAUAAUUAUGCUUUCUAUUCAUGUAUGAAGGAUUUUGAGUUGGAAUGUUUGAAAUCAUUGGAGAAGGACUUACCUUGAAAAAGAAUCUGGAGUAAAACUUGAAAGAAUCUUGCUUGAAAGUAUUAUGCUUUGAUUUUAUUUAGGGUUUUGCCUUGAGGUUUGAGAGAGAAGAGAAUAGGGAAUUAAGAGACGAAAAUCUGAUUGUUUAGGUCCUUUUAGAAGUCAAGAAAUUCAUUUAGAAAUUUCCUAGGGGUAAGAAGACAAAAACGACUCUUUUUAGUGUUUUUCCACCGGCCAAAACGUCACUGCACGCAUCAGAUUAGUACAAUGAUCAUAACUCUUUACUCCUAACUUUAAAUUAUGGAAACUUGGUGGUGUUGGAAAGAAGACUGAAAUAACUUUAACUUGAUAGUUUAUGGGGCACCUAACUCUUAGCUAGCGUUUGGCCAUAGAUUUCCAAAUAUUCUUGGCACAUAUUAUUUGAGUGAAAAUUUGGGUGAAAUUUCACCAUGUGUUUGACCAUAGUAUUUGGGAAACAUAUUUCACUUUUUUAGAAAAAUAUGAUUUAUACCCAUAAGUUUUGAAAACUAUCAAAACUAACCAUACGUUUAUAUUACAAGUCAAUUGGAUCUUCGUUCCAACAAAUAACAAGUAGUGUCCAUGACACUGGAGCAAAGUGGUAGUUUGGAGUGAGUGCAACAAUCAUCAUUCCAUACAUCGUGAAGUAGACAAAGCACAUGACUUUGUUACCCUGAGCCGAUUGUUCAUCAUUUUCAUCAACAACUAUACCAUCACUUUCAUAUUCACUGAAUAUUUCAUCACUACUUUGGUGUUCACGUAAAAAAUUAUGUAAUACAACGCAAACAACUACUAUAGAGGGUGUUUUUGUAAAAUAUAAAAGUUUGGUGUAAAAGUUCAAUUUUUAAAAAAUCCCAAAUAAUGAGAUUUGGCCCAAAUACUAGGAAAAAACUAGUAUUUGGGAAUUUGGGAUAUUUGCCAAAUAAUAGCAAAUUGUAUGGACAAACACUAUUUGCCAAAUUUUUUCCCAAAUAUUACUUGGGAAAUCUAUGGCCAAACGGGUCCUUAAUAUCUUAAGCGAUAUGGUUAUUUGAAUUUGACCCAAGUAAAAUCUUAUAUCGAAACUCAAUUAGUAAGGAAACUUUCAACUCAAUUUUGUGCAAAGAAGAUUCUUGUAACCUUAAUUAGGUGUAAAAACGUCGGGGUUUAGGUUUGGAAAGUGUAGGAAAAGACUAAAAUAACCCCUCUUAAAAACUGACAGAAGUCUUCUACGGAAGGCCAUCUAUGGUCCAUACAAUAGUCUAUGGAUUGUAAACCCUCUCGUAGGAACAUGCUGAGUUUUCUUGAUCUCUGAAGUUGGGCCUACGGACCCUUUCUACGCCCCGUAGAAACUUUGACGGGCUGUCCUGCUACUAGAAAGGUAUUUCAGGACUUGAUUCCACAAGGCCUUCUACGGACCGUAGAAGCUUAUACAAUCCGUUUUUCGGUUCUUGAAACUUAGACUUGAGAACCAACUUUCUAGAGCCUAGUUCCACGAAUUCUUCUACGGUACAUAGAUACUUAUACUGGCCAUAAAUGCCUUAUGUCGCACCAGAAUGCAGAAAAUUUUCAAGGUUUGAUUUGGGUUAGAACUUUUGAGGUGUUACAUUAGGUCUGAAAAUCGAUUUUAAUUUCAUGGUGCCCGCUUCUGUGGCUUGCUAAAGCACCCUGAUUCUCGCUAUAGCGGCCUCAACUUUUACGCACGAACAAUCUCUGGUAAAAUGAUCAUAACAUUUUAAUCUGAAUUUGAAAUGAUGUAGACUUGGUGAAGUUGGAAACAAAACUCAUAGACCUUUAGUUUGAUAUGUCAUGGGCCACCAAAUUUAUUAUAGGUUGAGAGAUAGGACACUUUAAACUUACUUUGUGAUAGGAGCAGUGUACGACCUUAAUUCAUCAUUAAUGCACUCACAUACCAUCCUAACCCUGUGAAGAUUGAGAUUUGUAUACCUUUACCGCAUAUGUUUUCAGUAACGAUGGAGUAGGUUAUUACAAUCUAAUUAAAAUAUUACAAAACUGUAAUUUGCUAAAAAUUUCCAAAUGUCAACACCCUAAAAAUUGUGAUUUAAUAAUUUUAAAUAAAUAAAAUGUGUCAGCACCACAAAUAAUCUCAAAAAGCAAUUUUUAAAAAUAUCAAUUUAUUAAAUUUUAAUUAUCAUAUUUUUUUUUAUUAAAAGUCGAAUGUCAUCAAAUAAUAAAUUCUCCUUUUUCAAUUUGUUUAAAUAUUUCUUAAAAAGUAUAACAAUUUUAUAUAUUUUUUUUAAAUGACGAAGGUCAGCAGUCAGCACCCAAUUUUUAAAUUUUUUUUAGAAAAAAUAAAACGUGUCAUCACCACAAAUAUUAUUCUUUUUUGUUUUAUGUCCUCAAACAAAAAUUGGUUAAUAACAAUCUGAAUUAUAUAUUAGACAAUUUUACAAGUUCCAAUUAAACUACCACUACUACUUAUGUGAACUUUAACUAUUUAUAAACAAUUACUAAGUUCUAUUUUGGUAUUAUUUCAUUAAAUUAAUAUUUAUCUAUUCUUAUUUUACCAUUUCAAAAUAAAUAAACAAUUUAAAAGCUACCUAUUAAACACCUACUACUUAAUAUGUUUUGAUGGUAUCUUUAUAGAUUUAAAAUUAUUGCAUGCGAUAAAAAAAAAGUUUCAUCACUACUUAUUAACUAUCCACUUUAACACAAUUUUAUAAUGACUUAAAAACUAUUUCUUACUACACGUUUGAUUUAUUAUAUAUUGUUUAUCACGACAAAAUAUGACAUUAUUCUGGAUAGCACCAAAAACUAACAUGGUUUUACAGUUUAAUACAUUAUCAGAAAUCUCAAACAAAUCGAUGCAAUGGAUUUUGAAAGUCCGUGUUAUUCGAAUGUUGAUAGUGCCGGAUAAACACAAGCCAAAAUUACCUUUUUCUUUAGAGUUGAUUUUGCAAGAUGAAAAGGUAACACUUUUAUAAUUGCUUUACCUAUUUAACAAUAUUCAAUCUCUCGACAUAUUAUUAUUACUUUAAUGCUAUGAAUAUUAUAUAUUAACAUAACUAAAAAAUUUGUUUCAAUUUAGGGCGAUCGUAUAGAUGCAUCAAUUGAAAAGUUUAUAAUUAAGUAUUUCAAGA
rnacentral:lncRNA from 1 species